rnacentral:rRNA from 1 species
CCUACGGGAGGCAGCAGUGAGGAAUAUUGGUCAAUGGACGGAAGUCUGAACCAGCCAUGUCGCGUGCAGGAAGACGGCCCUAUGAGUUGUAAACCGCUUUUGUACAAGGGUAAACCUGAAUACGUGUACUCAGCUGAAAGUACCGUACGAAUAAGGAUCGGCUAACUCCGUGCCAGCAGCCGCGGUAAUACGGAGGAUCCAAGCGUUAUCCGGAUUUAUUGGGUUUAAAGGGUGCGUAGGCGGAUUGGUAAGUUAGAGGUGAAAAGUUCGGGCUUAACUCGGGAAGUGCCUUUAGUACUGGUAGUCUAGAGAGGGGAUGCGGUAGGCGGAAUGUGUGGUGUAGCGGUGAAAUGCUUAGAGAUCAUGCAGAACGCCGAUUGCGAAGGCAGCUUACCAAUCUAUGUCUGACGUUGAGGCACGAAAGCGUGGGGAGCGAACAGGAUUAGAUACCCUUGUAGUC